GGGCGCAUAGCUCAGUUGGCAGAGCAGCUGACUCUUAAUCAGCGGGUCGUAGGUUCGAAUCCUACUGCGCCUACCA
rnacentral:tRNA from 1 species